rnacentral:rRNA from 1 species
GACGAACGCUGGCGGCGUGCUUAACACAUGCAAGUCGAACGGAAAGGCCCUGCUUUUUCGGGCUGCUCGAGUGGCGAACGGGUGAGUAACACGUGAGUAACCUGCCCUUGACUUUGGGAUAACUUCAGGAAACUGGGGCUAAUACCGGAUAGGAGCUCCCGUUGCAUGGUGGGGGUUGGAAAGUUUCGGCGGUUGGGGAUGGAUUCGCGGCUUAUCAGCUUGUUGGUGGGGUAGUGGCUUACCAAGGCUUUGACGGGUAGCCGGCCUGAGAGGGUGACCGGCGACAUUGGGACUGAGGUACGGCCCAGACUGCUACGGGAGGCAGCAGUGGGAAAUAUUGCACAAUGGGCGGAAGCCGGAUGAAGAAACGCCGCGUGCGGGAAGACGGCCUUCGGGGUGAAAAACGCUUUCGCCUGAGACGAAGCGUGAGUGACGGUAAUGAGUAAAGAAGCACCGGCUAACUACGUG